UUUUUUUAGUGUAUCCUUCCAACAAUUUCUUCAAUGUCUGAUCAAAAGCCUUUGCUUAGCCUUAAGAAGACAUUAUUUUACAAUUUCUUUCCAUCAAAAGCUGAAGAAGAAGCUUGCAAACUUAACAACACUCCACAUGUAGUGACUCAAGAACUAAUUGAGAUAAGAGACAUAUAUCCUCCCCCAAAAAUUGAUUUGGAAAACUCCUGGCAGAUCAAGAAAAAGAUUACCCAUGACGAGGUUAUUGUAGGAAAGCUGAUGAUUCCAUUUUUCGAGACGUUUGAGUACAUUCUUCGAUACUGGACAUUGGAUGCGGCCAAAAGUUUGGAGAACGGGUGCGAUGUUCCUGUUGGCGUGUGGGAUGUAACGUAGGAGAAUAUCCCUAAGAAGUAUGAUGGUGGAAGUGUUUUCUUAAGGAAAUUGUACAAUGAUGACUUUUAUCUUUAGUGCAUCAAAUUUUUCAACAGUCGCGGAUUAAGCGUUGGUGAUGAAAUUGGACUUUAUUGGGAUCCUAGAUCUUCAAGUUUAAUGUUCAAAUUAUUUUCUCAGGUUCGCGCUUAGUGAAAGGUCCAAGAAUUUAGGACAAAAAAUAACAUUCCAUAGUCGUUUUGUUAGUAUUUCUCUUUCAUAUAGUUGUAAUAGCUAAAGAUUGGAACAUUUGCAUUAUGGAGUACGAAGAUUCUUCAAAUUCCCAAUUUAGUUUGCGCAAACCCCUUUUAGUACAUGUGUUUUCAUUCCUUGUUAUUAUAAUGCUCUUUUAAUUUAGAUGUGCAAUUUUGCAAAGUAGUAAUUUCUCCACUGAUUGAUUUCUCUUCUAAGUUGCAAACAAGAAUAAAAACCUCCCUGGUAUGUUUUUUUCACCGACAGUAUUGACAACGAAAAGUAUCAUGAUCAUUCAUAUAAAGUUUUUCAUCCCAACAGUUAGUAGAUUAUUUGUUUCCCACGGAAUCUAGAACUAACUAUUCAGAGAAAUUGUAUCUAGAAACUAUAUCAUACUUGGACAAGAACUUAUCAUUUCUACGACUAUAAAUAAGACCUAUAUUUUCUAUGUGAAAAAUACAUAUUAAUUGAGGGGAGUAUGUAGGAGCAUCAACUCCAAAUUGUUGGAAUUCUACGAAAGUAUCAAAAGCCAAGAUACAUUCUUGCAAGACUUGCUGAGCUUCUUCAUGUGACAGAAACAUGAUCAUCAAAUGCCUCAGAUAUUUGAUUUGCCCACGUCAGCAUGAUCACAAUGAUGAUCGUCUGAUUUCAAUUAAUUUUUCUAUAUUUGUGGAGCCAUAAGAAUAUGGUUUUCCACUUGGUCAAAUGAGCAGAACACAUACAUCUGUUCCGGUUAGAGUUAAAAGUUCUUCCGCUUUCUUAAACAAUGUUUCUUUCCUUUGCAAGAAAGUUGCAGCUAACACGUUCUUCCUUUGACUCAAUUAACUCCAUUUCAAUCUUUUGCUUAUCGUUGAUGAUAUCCGUUUCCAUUGCAAAAGAAAAUAAGAAGAUGUUAUGGUUGAAUAAGCCCAAGCAACUUUGAGAGGAACACCAGGGUAAUUUAUAGCAAGUGCACGAGCUUAUUUGUCACAUGUAUUGUCACAUUAUUUCAUAGUUUCAUAUUAUGAGUCUCUUUGUCACGUGUAUUGUCACAUUAUUUAAUAUUUUCAUACUAUGAGUCUAUCUUCCAUGAGUAUUGUCGCGUUUAUUUAGUAUUUUUCAUAUCAUGUGAAACUAUUACUAAUUUAUAUAUAUGACUAGUGUCUGGACAUGAUGCACAUGUGUCCAUGCCAUGUAAUACAUAUUUCUUGAUACAACAUAAAUAAUAAUAAAACAAAUAUAUGGGUAUAUUGACUAACAUAGUCAAACCUUAAAAGUUGAAUUAGCUAGAAUUCAUUAGUUAGUUAUGUACGUUCAUAAUGAGUUAAUGUUUUAACAUUAUUAGGUACAAACAAGUAAUAUCAUCGUAUGAUACCUUGGUUCUUCAAUGCUGAAUCUAAGGCUUCGAAGAUUGUAUUAUUUAUUUCCUUCGGUAUAUAGAACUAACUAUUUGGAGCAAUUGUAUCUAGCAAUCAUACCAUACUUGGAAAAGAGCUUAUUGUUUCUAUGACUGUAAUAAAAAGACCUAUGUAUUCUAUGUGAAAUCUCCAUAUUAGUUGAGGGGCAUAUUAGGAGCAUCAACAGUGUUCUAGUAGGCUUUGAGAAGCAAAAGAAAUUAUUGGAAUUCUAUGAACGAGUAUCGAAAGCCAGGAUGCGAUCUUGCAAUGCUUGUUGAGCUUCUCCAUGUGACUGGCAUCACAAAUAUAUUUCAAUUUCAUACGACUAGGUGGAGUGACCCAGAUGUGCCUUUUUGAUUGUGUAUAGAUAAUGUUGGUUUUUCUAAAACUAUGCGUCAGCGAAAAAAGGUUAAAAAUGUCUCUCGUUGGAUUUUGAAUGGCUUUCAAUUGAUUUCAAUAAUUUUAUUAAACAUUUAGAGGCUUUAAAUAGCCAACAUAAAAUACAUAAUCUGCAUAAUUUAAAAUUUGAGAAUUCUAAAAUAUCUCAACAACUAAAACAACAUAACUAAGAUUCAAAUUUCAAAUUCAUCUUAAGCUAAACAACUUAUUUUGCUAAAAACUACAGCAGUAACUAAAAGCAAAUUUGAACACUCCUCAUUUGCUUUAGUUACUGCAAUUGUAAAAACUCUUCCUCCUCAUUUUUUGUCCUCUAGUAGUUGAUGCUAAUUUUUCAUGGUUAUUUUUUAACUUGCAGAUUUUUUGAUAUUGAUCUUUCUCUUUUUCUUUCUUUUUUUUUUCUAUUGAUUUUGUGCUUCAAAAACACUUUCUAUUGAAGUUUUCUUGUGUAAAGUUCUUUUGAAAGUUCUUUUAUUUGGACAAUUGUAGGAUUCACAAAGUGUAGUUGUAAGUAUAUUUCUUCCAUCACAAAAACACAUCUGACAUAUGUUAUAAAAUAUGAAUUCAUUUUCAUUAACCAUAUAUGAUAGUUUUUGUCAGUGAAACUUUUUUGGGCAUUCAAAGAGAAAGAGCUGCUUGACAUCGAUAUUUGUUGAAAAUACCCUUACACUUUGAAUAUAAGCACAGGUUGCAAAUGGUAGCCCUAACGGGUUAAAAUGGAUAGCCCUGACGUGUAGAGCAUUACGUAUAGUUACACCAUUUUUAAGGCAUAUUUUCACAUUUACGAGUCAACUUUAAGGAAUUACGCAAUUUUUUAGAUUUUUCAUGUGUAUUAGCCCAUGGAUCUGGCGCUUUGGAGCACCCAAAAGAAUUUUUGAAAAAACUUUAUAAGGACCUCCGUAAUGAGCUGGGGAUCAUUAUGUAUAGUCACGCCAUUUUUUAAGGCAUAUUUUAGCAUUUGCGAGCCAACUUUUAGGAAUUACGUGACUUUCUUAAUUUUUUGUGUGUAUUAUUUGCUCAUGGAUCUGGCGCCUUGGAGCACCCUAAAAGUUUUUUGAAAAAAUUCUAUGAGGACCUUUGUAAUGAUUUGGGGGAGCAUUACAUAUAGUCACACCAUUUUAAGGCAUAUUUUCUCAUUUACGAGCCAACUUUUAGGAAUUACGCGACUUUCUUGGUUUUUUGUGUGUAUUAGCCCAUGGAUCUGACGCCAUGGAGCGCCCAAAAAUAAUUUCUAAAAAAACUUUAUGAGGAUCUCUGUAAUGAGUAGGGGGAGCAUUAUGUAUAGUUACACCAUUUUUUAAGGCAUAUUUUUGCAUUUACGAGCCAACCUUUAGGAAUUACACGACUUUCUAGGUUUUUUCGUGUGUAUAAGCCCAAGGAUCUAACACCUUGGAGCACCCAAAUUUGUUUUCUGAAAAAAACCUUAUGAGGACCUCUGUAAUGAGUGGGGGUGGAAUUAUUUAUAAUCAUACCAUUUUAAGACAUAUUUUCGCAUUUACGAGUCAACUUUUAGAAAUUACGCUACUUUUUUUGUUUUUCCUGUGUAUUAGCCCAUGGAUCUAGUGUUUUGGAGCACCCAAAAAAAAAUUCUGAAAGAACUUUAUGAGGACUUUUAUAAUGAGUUGCGGGAGAAUUAGGUAUAGUCACACCAUUUUCAAGGCAUAUUUUUGCAUUUACGAGUCAACUUUUAGGAAUUAUGCGACUUUCAUUUUUUUUUUUGUGUUAAAGCCCAUAGAUCUAGUGCCUUGGAUCUCCCAGUUUUUUAUCUGAAAAAACUUUAUGAGGACCUCUAUAAUGAUUUGGGGGAGCAUUAUGCUUAGUCUCACCAUUUUUAAUGCAUAUUUUUGCAUUUACAAGCCAACUUUUAGAAAUUAUAUAACAUUCUUGGUUUUUCAUAUGUAUUAACUCAUGUAUCUGGCACCUUGGAGCACCCAAAAUAAUUUUAUGAAAAAACCUUAUGAGGACUUCUGUAAUGAGUUGGGGGAUUAUUACGUAUAGUCACAUUAUUUUUAAGACAUAUUUUUGCAUUUACAAGCCAAUUUUAAGGAAUUUCAUGACUUUUUUAUUUUUUUCGUGUGUAUUAGCCCAUAGAUCUGGCGUCUUGGACCCAAACAAACAUUCUGGAAAAAAAAUUAUGAAGACCUUCGUAAUGAGUAGGGGGAGUAUUACGUAUAGUUACACCAUUUUAAGGCAUAUUUUUGCAUUUACGAGCCAACUUUUAGAAAUUACGCGACUCUCAAGGUUUUGUCGUGUGUAUUAGCCCAUGAAUCUGACGCCUUGGACACCCAAAAAAUUUUCUGAAAAACCUUUUUGAGGACUUUCGUAAUGAAUUGGGGGACAUUACUUAUAGUCACACAAUUUUAAGGCAUAAUUAUUACAUUUACUAGCCAAUUUCUUAGAAUUAUGAAAUUUGCUUGGUUUUUCGUGUGUAUUAGCCCAUAAAUCUAACACCUUGGAGCACCUAGAACGUUUUUCUAAAAAAACAUUAGGAGGACCUCCUUAAUGAGUUGAUGGAGAAUUAUGUAUAGUCACACCAUUUUUAAGGCAUAUUUUUGCAUUUACGAGUAAACUUUUAGAAAUUAUGCGACUUUCUUGGUUUUUCGUGUGUAUUAGUCGAUGGAUCUGCUACCAUGGAGCACCCAAAAAUUUUAUUUGAAUAAACUUUAUGUGGACCUCCGUAAUGAAUUGGGGGAGCAUUAUGUAUAGUCACACCAUUUUUAAGGCAUAUUUUCGCAUUUACGAGCCAACUUUUAGGAAUAACACGACUCUCUUAAUUUUUCGUGUAUAUUAGCCCAUGGAUCUGUCAUCUUGGAGUACCCAAAAAUGUUUUCUAAAAAAGCUAUGUGAGGACCUACAUAUGAGCUUGGGAAGCAUUACGUAAAGUCACGCCAUUUUUAAGGAAUAUUUUUACAUUUACAAGUCAACUUUUAGGAAUUACGCAACAUUUUUUUUCGUGUGUAUCAGCGCAUGGAUCUGGCUCCUUGGAGAACCCAAAAAGUUUUUUGGAAAAAACUUUAUGAGGACCUCCAUAAUGAGUAGGGAGAGCAAUACAUAUAGUCACACUAUUUUUAAGGUAUAUUUUCGCAUUUACGAGCCAACUUUUAGGAAUCACGUGACUUUCUUGGUUUUUCGUGUGUAUAAGCCCAUGGAUCUGGCGCCUUGUAGCACCUAACAAAAUUAUCUGAAAAAACUUUAUAAGGACAUUCGUAAUGAGUUGAGGAAGCAUUAGGUAUAGUCACACCAUUUUAAGGCAUAUUUUCGCAUUUGCGAUUGUAGAUUGGGAGAUGAUGAUGAAAUCGUGUCACGACCCCGACCAUUGUGAUUGGCACCCACACUAACACUUCAGUGGGAAAACCACUACUACAAUCCAACCCAAGCAAAUAAUCUAAAAACUAAGGCAUUUAAAUCAAACACUUAAGGAAAAACAAUAGAGUUCUCAUAAACUCUAACAAAUGUCUUACAAGAAUAACUAACAAUGCGGAAGAAUAAAGCCUAGAACUUGAAAGUCAAUGUACCAAAACUCUACUAACGACAAGUCUAAGAAUAUGGGGUACAACCCCGAAACUAAACAACAACUUAACCAAUAGUCUGAGUCUGAAAGAGUGGACUUAAACAAGAGAGAUCCAUGGAAGCCUGAAAAAACUGGCUCACCCUUGAAUCCGGUCACGCUCAAUAGUCACAUAGCAUAGGUAUAUCAAUAGCUGACGGAAGAUGCCCUGUAAUCAACAAAAAUAAGAGCAAGUGCAGUAUCAGUACACAACAACCGUGUACUGGUAGGAUCACGCCACUAUCCCACUAAGUGAAGCAUAUGUAAGUCAUUACAACAUCAUAAAUAUGCAUACACCGAACAUAUACAAUAUCAAUUAUCAUUUACGAGCAACGUACAAUUUCACAUGCUUCAAUAAGAGAACCACACCACAAUCACUCUUAAAGUCCACUUGUGCAAUGCAUGAAUAAAGUCUCAUACCCCAACUUACACUAAGUAUAACUCUUUGAGAAGUCAUAAGUCAUAGUUCAUGAUCAUGUUCACAACAAUAAGUCAAUAUAUAACAAGUCAUUGGUCCUCUCACGGAACCCAAACCCAAAUAGUUGGCAUGCCGAAACGUUGCAACCGAUCCCAUAUUUAUGCCAGAACGUGGAAACCGAUCCCAUUUUUAUGCCGAAACGUGGCAACCGAUCCAAGUUAGUUAUGCCGGAACGUGGCAACCGAUCUCAUUCACACACCACAAUCAUAAUCACAAGUAUAUCAUCAAGAUCACACAUUUAAGUCAUGAUUUCAUGGCAUUCAUCAUUUAUCAAUCUCAUUUACAACAAGUGCGAUCAACAUUGCAACAUUCAUACAUAUACAAGUAUCAUAAUGAAGCAAGAACAAUCAUACAUCACACAAUCAUAGAAUCACAACCAUCACCUACCUCGAAACAAACUUGAUCUUUCCAUUUACGGAUUUGUUCCGCUUAUUCUUGGUCUACAAACAAUCAUAAUAACAUGGGAAUCAACCAGCAAUCGCUAAUUACCCAAAACUAUAACAAUUAUAUGAACCCUAGAUCAAACCCAUGAUCUCAAUUAUCCAAUUUAGGGUUGUUUCCACUAUAGAAUCUAUAACAAAAUCCUUCCCCAUCAAUAUUCACCCAUUCUAGUACGUUCUAUGGAUCGAUAAACAGAUUCGGGGAGUGAAAAGCUUUCCUUUAGCCUCAAGAAUGGUGAAAAACGAGUAUGAGUCACCUGGGGUCAUUCCUUAGCUGAAUAAGUCGAAAAGUGCAUAAUGAGGCGUUUAGGGGUUUAUUAACGACUUUAAUUCACGUCGGGCCCGCCACAGCGGCCACCACCCCACCAGAGCAGCAAUAACCUUCGCCAAAGCGGCCAAAACAAAAUAGAGAGCUAUUUCAAGAAUUUCAAAAUUCUCAUUUCACAACACACCUCUAACCCACGAUGCCCAGUAAAUAAUCUUUACGCUAAGAUCAAUUUUGGGAGUUCUACUCGCCCGAAUUCAAUUCUGUAAAGUCAUACGGAUUCCUUAAUGAGUUAUCUAACUACUCAUGUAAUCAAAAUCAUAAAUGAUUCACCCGAUUGUUACCAGAUUUCCCUACACCUCAAUGACUCCGAUUUUGUCCAAAUCUGGACAAGGUUGGGAAAAUUCAAAAUACUACGAAAAAGUUUUCCGGCCCCAAAUUUUCCCCGUUGGCUUUUCUAUAACGACGAGAACAGGUCAUUACAAAUCGCGCUAUAUUGGGAUCCUAGAUCUUUAAAUGUAAUGUUCAAAUUAUUUUCUCAGAUUCGCGCUUAGUGAAAGGUACGAGAAUUUAGGACCAAAAACAACAUACCAUAGUCUUUUUGUUACCUCAAUAGGAUUGGUAAGGUAAGGCCUAGCCCCUCUUGCAUGUACUUAUUUCUAUUGAGAUUUUUUUAUUUCUAAUAAAAGGCCACUAGACACUCCGUCUAGUGGUAAAUUUGCCCCCAAAAAAAAAAAUAUAGUUGUAAUAGCUGAAGAUUGAAAUAUUUGCACUAUGGAGUAUGAUGAUUCUUCAAAUUCCCAAUUCAGUUUAUGCAAUCACCUUUUUGUACCUGUAUUUUCAUUCCUUAUGUGUAUGAGUAAUUUUAGGAGAGAAUUAGAAAAUGGAGAGAGGAAAGAUAAAAUUAGAUUUGUAUAAAUGAGUAUGCAAACCUGGAGAGUGGUCUUUUUCUUUCGGUAAACAAAUUGUCCAUGGAUCCCAUAUUUAAUAGCAAAUUAUAUUAUAGUCACACAUAAUAAUUAAUUAAAAUUGUAGCCUCGUUGAAUAUUAAACUAGUAAUGUUUGCCAACUCGCGUAAUUUUCCCAACUUAGAUUGCAAUAAAAAUUUACCUUAUUAAGUAAUAUUUAUCUUAUAUGUAAUGAAUCGUCAUAUAUUAAAAAAAAAUUGAGAAUUAUUUGUAAUAUACAAUUUGACUUGUCCCUAAUUAUUAUAAGUGUAUACUUUCAAUAAAGUUUUGGUCGGUUCGACUAUAAGGCAACUAAAGUAAUGCCUUGGAGCCUCAAUUAUUUUGGGGUUUUAAUUACUUUUUCCUAAAAAUGAACACACACUCUCACUAUAUAUAUAUAUAUAUUUCGAUAGAAAAUAUAACAACUUUUUAUCUUUUUAAAUUGAGUUCAUUGUGAUAAUUGAGAAUUGAAAUUUUAUUGAUAUGAGAAUUUUCAAGUGAAAAGAAACACCAGAUAUCAACUAGAUUUGUCGGAUAAGUGAAUUUAUUAGUCUUUAUAACAACUAAGGAAAUUAACUAAAUUGUAGAUUAUAAAGAGGUUAAAACUCGAAUUUGUUAAAAAAAAAUGGAACUUGAAUGGUUGAUAUGGAGGUAAGUUGAGGCAUACUCUCUUUAAGUUAAAAACUUGAUGAAGAAAAUGCAUAAUAAGGGUAAGCUUAGCCCUCGUGAUUUAUGGUAUGAGUAAUAGUAGGUAUUGAGAACUUGAUUGAUAUUUUUAGCAUGUGCAUUAAAUAUUUUUCCGUAUCGAUGGUAUUCUUUUAUGUUUUUAUAUGUUGUCACACGCAUAGCAUACAUGAAAUCAUAUGAUUAUAAUCCGCGAAAUCCAAAGGAUCUAGUUCCAGAGGGGAAGUUGAUAUGAAUUUUAUUCAUGGGUACUUAAGGACCGGAUCUGGAUGGAGUGAUGGUAUUUUUUUUACUCGAGGGUUCUACUGAUCGGCUUUGAUGGCAGCAUAUGAAUCUCGCGAAUUCUCCAUGGAUCAUGACUACCUAGCAGCAUGAGUGUGUGCAUCAAUCAUUUCAUCUCAUAUCAUAUCACUUGCGUUACAUUGUAUUGGUUAUUAUACUUUAUACCAUUAUUUAUCUAUUUGGCUGAGAUUAUUAUUUUAAGCUUACUUGCUUAAUUUACUGAAUUCCUAUUAAUUAUAACUAUCUUGUUUGUUUACCUGUUUUGAUUAUCAAUAUAUGUUAUUGCUAUGAUUUUGAGAAGCGUGAAGAUAGUCAUGGAAAUACCAACCCUCAUCAUCGCUUCAUUUAAGGUCGAUCAAUAAUGUUAUUGAGUAUACACAUUUUCGUAUUCACUUUAGACUUGUUGCACCUUUUUGUGUGCAGAUCUUGUUUUGAGUUAAGAGUGUUGGUGAUAGCUUGAAGUAUUUGAAAUGAACUGCUAGUUGUUCCACAACACUAGACUCCUUUUUUUGUUUAUUUAUUUCUUACUUUUUUUUUUAAUGGACGUAGUACUUACUGAUUAACUUGAAAUCUUAUUUUAAAAGCUCUUGUACUUGUGACAUCAGAUUUUGGGUGGCAUUUUACUCUACUUUACACGACACUUUCUAUAUUAUAAAUGCUUGCUUGAUUUUUAAUUUUUACUAUCGGUUUUUCUCUUUACUUCCAUGUUUUAAAAUUGUUAAAAUAAAUUUAGUGUAAUUAGUUCGAUUAUGAGGUUUGGGUAGGUGCUAUCACGACUUUGGAUCAUUGGAUCAUGAUUGUUACUUUGGGAGUAAGGAUCAAAGAUUUAUCACUUAAAAAGAAAAUUUCAAAAUUUUACUACUUCAGGAGUAAAUUUCAAAAUUUUCACUACUUCAAAAGUAAAGCUUAAAAUAUUUAGAAUAUUUCUUUGCAAUUGCUCUACUUCUUCUGGAAGUAAGUCGUGCGUAGCUAUACGCUUUGCUAAAUACUAUCACAAUUACUUCAAGGAAUAUAUCUAGAUUUAUAUAUUUAUAAAUAAUUAUCAUUCUUUGGGUGGAACAUUAUCAUAUCAAUAUGAUGUACCUUAAUCACAUCAAAUUGUGAGAGUUUAGUACCUCUUUUAAGAUAUUGCUACUUCACGGAUAAAUCAAGUUAUGCAUAUAAUAGCGGAAUAAGAUUUGUAUACAUUUUUUUUUUUAAAUUAAAUUAAAUCUAUAAAAAUUAUACUGAACAUAUUAUUAUUGUUGUUAUUAUAUCUUUAAUUUCAAUUGUAAUUGUAACACGCUUAUGAAAAUAUUACCAGUUCUGGUGGUUAUAGACAUAAACAAAUUUAGUUAACAAGACAUAAAAUAGAACUAUGAUAGUUAUCGUUAGCAUAGCAAGAUUAAAAGCCAUGGAGUAAUAUAUAAUUUACUCACAUGAUUUUUUUUUAAACUAAUCCUAUUUAUUUUUCAAAAAAAAAAACUCACAUGGCUUUCCCUUUUGACUUGGCAAAAGUCAUUGCAAGUCUCAGUGGAAUAUCCUUGGCACUUUCAAGUUAAAAAAGUGAAAUUAAUGAAAAUCAGGUAAAUAGAAAUAUUACUUUUUAUUGAGAAGAAAAUAAUCACCAAAACAAUGAUUGCAAUAGAGAUUAAUCUUGUCUCUCAAUCAUAAUUAUGCUUCUUUCAAAGUAAAUACUCAAGAUGAUAAAAUCUCAUAUUGAUAACAUGUUAUAUAAUAAUAAUAAUAAUAAUAAUAAUAAUAAUAAUAAUAAUAAUAAUAAUAAUAAUAAUAAUAAUAAUAAUAAUAAUAAUAAUAAUAAUAAUAAUAAUAAUAAUAAUAAUAAUAAUAAUAAUAAUAAUAAUAAUAAUAAUAAUAAUAAUAAUAAUAAUAAUAAUAAUAAUAAUAAUAAUAAUAAUAAUAAUAAUAAUAAUAAUAAUAAUAAUAAUAAUAAUAAUAAUAAUAAUAAUAAUAAUAAUAAUAAUAAUAAUAAUAAUAAUAAUAAUAAUAAUAAUAAUAAUAAUAAUAAUAAUAAUAAUAAUAAUAAUAAUAAUAAUAAUAAUAAUAAUAAUAAUAAUAAUAAUAAUAAUAAUAAUAAUAAUAAUAAUAAUAAUAAUAAUAAUAAUAAUAAUAAUAAUAAUAAUAAUAAUAAUAAUAAUAAUAAUAAUAAUAAUAAUAAUAAUAAUAAUAAUAAUAAUAAUAAUAAUAAUAAUAAUAAUAAUAAUAAUAAUAAUAAUAAUAAUAAUAAUAAUAAUAAUAAUAAUAAUAAUAAUACAAGACAAUAAGAGAUGUAAUUAAAGAAGCUGAGCUAAAGACAGUUUAUUUCUCUUGAAAUUGAGGUACAAAAUGAAUUCGUUUAGCUUUAUAUUUAUGAAGAAAUAAAGUUAUUGCGAGACUUUUCAGAAAGCUAUUACAAGACUUUUACAAUUGUCUACAUGAGCUACUUGCUUGAGCUAUUUAUAAGUUUGCUGCUUAAGUUUCUUUCAGAAAGUUACUACAAGAACUUUUAGGAAGUUGUCUACAUGAGCUACUUGCUUCAUUAUAAAAUUCUUUAAAUAAAUAUCCACAAUACAGUGUAUCUGUAACAUGUUUUAAAUUAUAUUUUUGUUUUACAAUUGAUCUAGCGAAUCUAUUAGUUUUGGUAAACUGGAAAAUGAAGUAUGUGAUUUUAUUACUAUAUUUUUUGUUGGAUAUUACAUUGAAAAAGAUAUGUCAAUAUUUUUGUUAAUUUAAUUAAAAAGCAAUUGUUGAAAUUUUGAGUUGACUUCCACAUGUUCAAUUGCCAAUGCAGCAACUUGUAUUGACCCAGUCUAGUCUACUAUUAACAGAUGAGUCAUUAAAUAACAACUAUUUCAAAAUUCAACAACUUGAAAUGAUGACAUAAAUUGAAAAGUAAUGAGAUACAAAGAAGAACAUAAUGAAAUACAUAUGAGAAGGACGCAUUGAAAUUUCCAACUAUUCCCUCAUUUAUUAGACACAGAGCUAAAGUUGUUUUUUUCCUCACGAUAUUUAUUGUCCGACUAAAUUCGAAUUCGCGUCGGGAUGUUUUAUAUUUGGAGGUAAAGCGUUGUCCUACAAAAGCAACUUCAUACUCAGGAGAAAUUGAACCCGAGGCUUCUGAUUAAGAAUGAAUGAGUACUUGACACUCUACCACAAUCCUUGUUGGUGAGCCAAAGUUAUUCUUCUUCUUUGACAUUCUAUUUUCUUAGUGUUGGCUAAAAAUGUCUUAUUCUAUUCUAGCUUACCAAAAUAAAAAAGUCUUAUUCUAGAUGAUGGAAAUAUUAUAUUAUAUCACAACUUAUUAAAAGUCGUUCAUGCUUGAAAUUUGGUUGCAAAAUCAUUUCUUAUUUUUUUCUUGUAUUAGGAUUGAAAACUUGAAAUAUAGUGUCAAUUUUGUUUCAUAAAAUAAUAAUUUAGCUAAUUUGUUCAAAGUUUCAUAGAGGGGUAUGAAUUUCUUUCGUUUGAGUUUAUUUCUUAAAUAGUUAAUUGAGUUAUAAAAAUUACUCUGUAAAAUAACUUUUUGUACUUUUUUAGGAAAAUUAAUAAAAUCAUCCUAGAAUGUACAUGUUUCUUAUAAUAAUUACAGUACAGUGUCUUUGGAUAAUCUAAUUUACAAAACAGCGAGUAAGUAUAGAGAUUUUUGUAUUUAAGUAUAAUAUACACAUAAUAUACGUCAUUAGUGUAUAGAUAUUUAUAUUUUAAACAUAUUGAUAAAUAUAUUUGGCUGAACUAUACUGUAAGUUUCAUAUCCCCAAAUAUUAUCCAUUCCAUGUAGAGAAAAAUGGCACUUAAAAUAGUUGAAGCAGCUAAUUAGAUUGCUACGUUAGAAGCAGUAACGCCAUUCUUUUUAGGUUAGAAUAGUGUUUUUGAUGUGUUGAAAUAGGGAUGGUAAUGGGGUGGUAGGGUGCGGACCAAUGUGGGUUUCAGACAUCGCGGGGUGGUGUGGAUUUUAUAUUGUGCGGGGGUUGAAAUAAUGUUUUUCUAAAUUGAUGUGGGGCAGGAUGAAUUGCAGGUCUAUGUGGGGUUAAAUAAAAAAAACAAAAAUUUAAUAUUUUUCUUGUGAAUUUGUCUAAAAUUAUAUGUAGCCUUACCUGAAAAUUAUAUGAUACUUAUUAUUAGGAAUGUAUAAAAUCUAAUUGAAAAUCGAACUAAAUCGCAAAUUGAGUCAAAUUGGAAAAAAAUUUGACUAAUAAUGGUUUGAUAUUAGAAAAAAAAAACCCAGCUAUACUUGGGUUGGUUUGAUUUUAACCAAAAAAAAAAAGUCAACCCGACAUUAUAAUAUAUUUUUAAAAAAAUUAUUUUAUACAUAAAAGUAUUACUUUGAUAUAAUUUCUAAAUAUUUCUUAUACUUUUUCAUAAUUUUAUCUUUUAGCGUAUUAUUUCAAAUUUUUGAGACUUAGAAUUUUAAAUGGUCCAAUAAAGAUUAUAGUCCAUAAAUAUUAGUAACUCUAAUAAAACUCAAAUCAAAAUUAAAUCAAUACUAAUGCUAACAAAAAAAAAAUUAAUUCAACACUAAGAAUGACAAUAAUGUUGAAUAUUUGUAUUUUGGUUUUACAUUGGUUUAGACAUUUAAAAUACAUAAUCUAAUUUUAAUUUUUCUUUACUAUUUAAUCAUGUAAUUAAUACUUAUUAGAUUUAUUUUAGCAUGAUUUAGUACUUUUAAAUUAUGAUCAUUUUCAUUAUGACUUAUUAAUUUGCAAUAUUUAUUUUAUGCGAUUUCAUUAUUAUUUUUUGUUGAAUAUUUUAGUGUCAUUAUUCAUCUCAUAUUUUGUAUUAUUUUCUUCAAAAACAACUUAUAUAGUUGUAUUUUAGUAAGACCAAAGAAAUAUUUGGAGCUCGAGUUAAUUAUAUGUUUGUAUGAAUACAUAUACUUUACCGGAAAACCCCGAAAAAAACUGAGGUUGAAAACUUCAAGUUUUAUUAAUUUGAUUUGAUUUAUAAAUUUAAAAAUCCGACACAAAUAAUUUAAUUUAAUAUUUGAAAAACCCGAAUAAACUCAGCCAUGUACACCCUACCGUACUUAAUAUUACAUAUUUAACACUAUAAAUUAAUAGUUUUAUCACUCAGGAUAUCAUAUAAUUCAGUUUCAUCACCAUUCAUUGAUUUCUUUUAAUUUUAUGUGCAUGCAUAAAUAUGUUGAUUAGUAGAUCAACCGCCCCGUGCCAUCCCUACAUUAAAAUGAUCAAUUUUACCCUAAUGACCUAUAUGUUUGUGGAGGUCAAAUCUUUCACAGGAUUUUAUAUAAAUUUUGUAUCGAAUCUAAUGGAUUUACAUUGUUUGAUUAUUUUUAUUUUUAGCGGGGUGUUCAUGAUUUAGUUUGAGCUUGUUUUUUUAUGAAAGUCAAAUCAAAUCAAUUUAGUAUAUUUUUCAAUUAUUAAAACCGAAUAAAAUAUAAUACUUUAUUGGUUUGAUUUUGUUUAUAAACAGUUAUCUUUGUCCUUGAAUUAUUACUUAAUUUUAUUUUUAGUCCAAGUGUUAUUCAACUUUAUGAGUUUGACCCCAAACUUUAUAUAAGCUCCUCAAGCUUUUGGAACAAUACCUCAUAAAAAAUGAUAUUGACCUAUUUUUGUACAUUUAUUUUUUGAAAACUAAAUUUUUUCAUUUCUUUACGUAAUUACUGACCUAUUUUCGUACAUCUACAAAAUUUCCCCUUCUGAUAUUGACAAGUGAGAGGGAAAAUUUAUUGGAUCGUUGCGAUUACGGAUCGAAUAUUUCAUUGUCUACAUUUAUAAACAACUUCAAUAUUUAAUUGAAAAUCUUGAAGAUUUCAAAACAUUUCUCUGAAGAAUCCUCCCAAAGUAAUAAACCAUUGCAAUUGGGUCGUUGUCAUUACGAGUUGGAUGUCUAUAUUUAUAAGUAGUUUUAACGUUUAAUUCAAAAUUUGUGGAACUUUUCAAAACAUUUCUCUUAAGAUAUUGCCAAAGUAAUAAACCAUAGGAAGAUAUCAUAUGUGAUCCAUGAACUUCCAUUUUUUUUAUAAAAAAAAAAAAAUGCAUCUAAGUUUCGUAACUAGUUUAUACAUUUUGAACUUUUCAAACAUAGCGAACUAAAACAUCUGAAUAGCUAAAGGAAGAAAAACCAAUCGAGAAAACUCUUUUAAGACGGGAUAGGGAGAUUGAUGAAAUAAAAACCUAAUAAAAACAUUGAAACAAUACGAACGGCUAAAUUCUUAUAAGUAGAUGGAUUAUAUGUAGGAUGACAAACAAACAAACAAAAACAUUGAAGAUAACAAUAGUUAAAGACUGAUUGUUUGGAUGAAAACUAAGUAGAUGAAUUUGGAAGUUUGUUGAAAACAUUAAACAUAACAUCUUUAAUCAAUUGUUGUUGGAUAAAAACUAAGUAGAGCUCUAAGUAGGUGUACAAAAACUAGUUUAACCAAUUAAAUCCAAGAAAAAAAUAACACAUAUUGAUUUAUUGGUAUUGGAUUAUUGAAUUAUUGGUUCGAUGUUCAAUUUUGUGAUUUUGGGUUAUGAUUAAAUUGAUAAUUCAAUAAGAUUAUAUUGGAAUUGCUAUUUUACUCCUAAAUAUAUAACAAUGACUUUAAUAUUUUACUUAACCCUAUUUUCUAAAAUUUUAGUAUUACUUUCGGCUGUAGACAACAGAAACUAGCCUCCCUGCCUCUCUAUUGCGGCAUAUUUUCACUUAUCUACACGACUUAGUAAUUACCUUCGGUCAUCUGAAUUUUAGAUUUGAUUGUGACAAACAUUUAAUGUUGUUUCUGCAAUUUAUUGCACGGGUCUUUAGAUGAAAUUCAAACAAUUCUGUAUUAAACAAAAGUAACUAAUGCAGAAAUUUGUAUUGCACUUCUAUUCUUACUACCAUUUUUAAUUUAUGAACAUCGUGUAUAUAUGAUCAUAUCAACAUUUUCUUAUCAGUUAAACAGAAAAUCAAGCUAUUAAAGAUCAAAAUCUGAUAAUAAAUAUCUUAUCAGUUUGACUAUCAAUUUAGUGUGUUCACAAAUCAAAAAACAAUAAACGUUGUGUGUCAUAAGGAUGACAAAACCACUGCUUGACUUGGAACUUUUCUGCAAUGCGUAUGAUGGUUUAACAUACUUGAAGAGGUCCUAAGUCAACUAACUCAUAGUCAAGUCAAUGAGUGUACCCAUGCCUCAUACCUUCAAAAACUACAGAUAAGAAGCAUUCAAUUUACUUUGGAGGUAUCACUACCAGUAGGGGCCGCUCCGCUGACAUAAUAGACUUUAAAACCUCACCUUCCCUUUCGUAUAAAAUAACUAUUAACAUUCUUAUUCCUCAACUUGCAAAAAAGUAACAUCCUACAUUCUCAACUUGGUGUUGGAUCAGCUCAACAGUCGCGCAAUAGUCUUUUACAGUGUUUUUAUCAUUUCGUUCCAUUUUUGGCACAGGAAAAAAGAAUAUAUUUGUUCCCAUGGCGUCGAGCUCAACAUCAAAACUGUUAUUCUGCAUUCUUGCUUCAACUUUUCUUGUUACCUCAGCUCAAAACUGUUCAAACUACACUUUCCCAGCCAAUAGAACUUUCACCACUUGCAAAGUACUCCCCUUUUUAGAAGCAAACCUGCACUGGAACUACAAUUCAUCCAGCACAAAAGUUUCAAUUGCAUACAGAGCUAAACAAGAUUCUAAGGGGUGGGUAGCAUGGGCUAUCAACCCUACAAGACAAGGCAUGGUCGGAUCGCAAGCAUUAGUUGCUUUCCAUAACUCAACUGACAGCAUGAUAGCUUACACAACACAAAUAACAAGUUAUAGUCCAUCAUUGCAGAGAGCAAAUCUCAGCUUUCAAGUUUCAAAUAUAUCUGCAGAAUACUUGAACAAUGAGAUGAUUAUCUUUGCGACUAUAGGGCCACUGGGCAAUGGAACCACAGUAAAUCAUGUCUGGCAAGGUGGACUCUCAGUCUCGAACGACAUCCCUCAGAUGCAUCCAUUUUCAUCCCAACACCUUCAAUCAUUUGGACAAAUAGAUUUUCAGACAGUUUGAGAAUUCCAUGAGAAAAAUAGUCAUCUUAGUUUUUUGCAACUUAUCAAAUAAAUAAAUAGUCAUCUUUGGCUUUCAUCCAUUAUCCCAAAUCAGGUUUCCAAAAUGGCUAGAAUAUUACUGUAAAAUAGCUGUCUCUAUUUCCAGGCAAUAAAAAGUUCCAAACUUCCAAUUCUUGUGCUUUCUUCGUCAUCUCUUAUCUAUUGUUUGUUUGAACACGAACCAGACACAAAUUAGUCAAUAAUCUAACAUUUGCUGCGUUUAAUUUAUAUAUCAAGGUGUUGUUGCUGUUGUAUAUAUCAAGGUGAUCUUACAAUGUAAUAUAACGAGGAAAAGAACAAAACGCCAAUUUGAAAAUUCCUUCAAGUGUCUGGAACAGAUUAAUUAGUGAAAAAUCAAUAGAAGAGUCGCAAGCUUUGAUUCAACAGUCGCUGGAUAAAACUAAUCACCAAAAUAAUAUACUCAAUACCCUCCAGGCUGAAGGGAAUGGUCUAACCGGGGAAUAUGAACAAUAACCAUGCAGCUCACCUCACAUUGACUCGGUCAUCAGCAUACACAAUGUGUCUUCAGGUGCUAUGAAUGUGUAACCAUAUUGCCAACUAAUUGACGCAGCUCAAAAAUCUUUGACUCGGUCAUUGGCAACUCCAAG
rnacentral:lncRNA from 1 species